AUAUGAAAUCUAGGAGGGACUCACCUCUGUAAUUGAUGUCGAGUCUUUCCCACACACUGUGGUGGGCACCAGCGUCCAUAUCAAUGAGAAGUUGCUGAUCGUUGGAGCCAGCUUUUGCCACCUAAGUUGUAAGUUCCUAAGAUCUUCAGGUGGUGCGGGCCUGUCGUGUGCCAUGUAGCAGUAAGCUACCAUGAGGCGCUUUUCCUCGCUCUUUAGCAUCACCACUGUACGGUCAUCCCUGCUGUAAUAAGACAUAAGA
rnacentral:lncRNA from 1 species